UCGCGUAUCUCCAAUUUGAAGAUUACAGGCCUGUGUUAUGAAACUUUGUUAGAAUAUCAAUAUAUUGCUUUAAGCAUUUUAUUUAGAGCAAACAAUAACCUAAUUUGCCUCAGUAACUUGCUAGAAAGCAGCAUAGGGCAAACGAUGAAGCAUGGGGUGCUGAGUUCUAGUGAUUUUUAUCACUCCCUGCUGGACCUGUGGGACAUCUUGAUUUACCUUCAUAAUCACGAAGAAGCAACUCAGCAACAUCACCUACAUCAGUCCUCCAGCCAGCAGGAUGGUAAAUAAGGUUGGGUGUGUGAGAAUCUCAUUACCAGGACACAAAGCGGCAUUUCCUCUGAGGAUUGAGCGAGGGAGUGAAGGAGGGGGCGAGCGGCCAGGCUCAAUCACGACCGCGCUGAUGGGGAGGGAGAAGGAGGCAGCUGGGUUCCUGCUCAGGCCUUCAAUUUCCUCUGCAGUCCAGCCACUCAAGUGUGUAAUUACUAUGGGGUGUCAUGAAGGUGCGAUUCCUACUUCUUGUAACACUCACCCCCCAGCUCUCGGUUCCCCAUGUCCCCUUGCACUCGCCCCUAGUAAACACCCCCUAUCUCAUUUCUGCAUCAGGUGAGGGCACUAGAUCCAAAUACGUCUGGUGCUUGGAUAGACAUCCCAAAGCACGGCCUUUCCCUGAUGGGAGUGCC